GCUGAAGUUCUCAACUCUCAGUCAACGUUUCUAAGUAUAGGUUGAGUCUCUCUUAUCUGAAAUGACCUAGACAUUUAUAGAGAGGUGUUUUCUCAGGUAGCUAUUUCUUAAUGAUUCUUUACAUUCAUUAGGAUCUGUGCUCCUAACCUCAGUGAAUGUGGAGGGCUUAUCCUUCACCUUUAGACAUAAUCCACUUGUUUUUUUCUAUCCCAGCCUAGUUUUAUAAUAUCACUAGGUAGGUCGUCUUUUUUUCUUUAUGGUGUUUCCUAGAUGGAGAAAUGAGACCUAUUUUGCCUCUUAUCAUGUAGAUCUUUCCUUCAGCUAACUCUCCAAUAGACUCUUCAGCAUUUUCCGGAUUGCAACUUACUUUCUCCAAACCUUGCCCCAUGAAGAUCGCCAACAUUGCCAAUGUAAGCCUAUCAGGAGGCGUCAGUCAUCUGUACAACACUGAUUUCAUCUUUCCUCAUUCUGCUGACGAACCGGUUGGAACCGAGACCAGCAAAAGCAAGAAAUCAAAGAAUGCCGCUGUGGGACCUGGUAUUCCUCGGAGCAGCCAUGCGGAAGUGGCCACCAGACAAGCCAGAGGGACAUCAGCUCCAAGCCAUGCAUCGUCCCAGGCUGGUCCUUCUCGAACGACGUGAAGAAAGUCAGAAAACAGUAGCAUCUGCUAAAAGAAUGAAGCAUAAAGAACUGAAAAGAGCAAACGGACACUAAUUUUAACACUGAGCUAAACAUUUGUGCAGGCUUUAACUCUGCCAGUGUGACCUAAACCAGAGAAGAAUUUAUGCUAUAAUUUCACAUAUGUAUAUAUUCAUAUCUUAGAUCUCAGGCUAAAAUGAACAAACUAAAAAGAUUAUUAAGUUUAUGAAAUAUGCUUUCUUCCCUGUCGAUCUAGAACUGAACAAGGUAUCUUGAAUGAAAAACCAGUCUUCUGUAUGAGCAUUCCCAGGGUUUUUUUAAAAAUGCAAAAUACUCUUGGAGGAAGUAGCUGAGAGAAAAAAAAGUGCUUCAAAAGUGCUUCGUUUCCCAGGCUGCUUUCCCAUCUAUUAGGAGGAGAGCAUCUUGAGUAGACAACAAUUGGGAUUUUUUUCAAAGCAGCAAUUGGUUCCAUUACAUCUUUUCAUGUUUAAAAAGUAAUUCAUGGCAGUGACAGCAGAAAUCACUUCUUUGUUACUUGCCACUUUUCCAUGUUGGGAUUAAUAAAGAAUAUCCAAAGAAAAAUCAUAAAAUAAAUCCACUCAAAAUUCUUAAAAAUUGGUCUUUGAGAGUCACAAGGAAGAGUGAUGUCCCUCCCUCAUUUAUUAUGUUCUUCUUAUUCAGCACAUUACUUUUGCAAGGUCAUUUCAUUACAGUCUUGAUUCACCUCCCUGUAAUAAUGAUGUAACUAUGAUUAUAUAGUUGGCCUUCCACAUUUGUGGGUUUAAUUUUUUUCAAUGUUAUCAUUUAUGGAUUUGAUUAACAAAGACCCCUUCUACAUUACUAUAUAAUCCAAAUUAUCAAAGCAGAUAGUCCACAUUAUCUGCUUUUAGCUGGAUUAUAUGAGUCUACACUGAAAUAUAAUCCAAUAUAAUUAAAGCAGAUAAUCUGGAUUUUAUAUAACAGUGUAGAAAGGCCCUACGUCUCUAUAGGAAUCUUUAGAUCCUCCAGUGUGUGAGUCUUUAAGUUAGCUUUUGUUGGAAGUUGAUUAUAGGGACCCCUUCUACACUGCCAUAUAAAAUCCAGAUUAUUUGCUUUGAACUGGAUUAUAUGGCAGUGCAGACUCAUAUAAUCCAGUUCAAAGCAGAUAAAGUGGAUUAUCUGAUUUGAUAAUAUGGAUUAUAUGGCAGUGUAGAAGGGGCCAGGGUUGCAUUGGAGGACCUAGAGAUCUCUGGAGACAUAUUGUCUCAGGUUUUAAGAACAAAUGCUUUUUAAUUGGUAGCUUUUCCACUUUUGCAGAGGUCCUGCCCACUUAACCCCAGUGAAUGUGGAAGGCCGAUUUUAUUAAUUUCCUGCUUCUUGGCAGGGGGUUGAGCUGGAUGGCCCAUAAGGUCUCUUCCAACUCUAUGAUUCUAUGAAAUAUGGAUUAGUUGCACCCUCAUGCCAUCCAUUGGAAUUAAUUAAGAUGUAACAACUUUUCUGUAUACUACUCUCCCGACUAUCCAGCUGGAUAGGUGCAGACCUGAUAAAUCCUCUUUUCUCCUACUUUUUCAUGUAUUAUUAAAUAUUCCAGUUUCUCUCUUAUCCUCCUCCCUAUUCCACCCCUUUUCCCCAUCUUAUUUCACUUGCAGUGUGUGUGUGUGUGUGUGUGUGAGAGAGAGAGGUAUAGAGAGAACAACAUGAAGACAUUAAGAAUAAUCCUAUUUAUUGCUGUAAAAGGGUUUGUGAAUAGAGUCCACUUCAUCAGAGGCAUUGAAUCUUGUCCUGAGUUGCUGGUGUCCAGUUGCAAGUGGAGAUCACAGAGAAAGGAAAUGUGAAGCUAAAUCUGAAGCUUCAAAUUCCUUUUUUCCCUCUGACUUUCUUGUUUAGUGCUCCUGCAUCUUGCAACUAUGCAUUGUCCAAAAAGAUCCACAGGACACUUGGCUCUUUCUGCUGGAACAGGCAACUAUGGCUGCUUCCUUUGGGAAUUGUCAUCAACUAGCCUUGCUUGAACCUCCUGUUUUCCAUGGUUGUGAAAUACAACACACACAGUUCACUAGAGGAGUUGUAGUCCAACACAUUUGGAGGGCAGCGGGUUUGGGAAAGCUGGUGAAAAUGAGAAGAAUUACAUAUACAUACCUGAUCUUCAUGUAUGUCUUUUAAUCAGCCAAGGGGUUCUUCAUCAAUAGAAAAGAAAGAAGAAAAAUUCCGCAAAAUCCCAAGUGUGCUUGAAAUGUAAAGCUGUUGAUAGGAUACUCAGUUGUCAUUAUACUUAGCAACCCCCUGUCCCAAAAACACACAAUGUUGCCUUAUGCCAGCUUUCCCCAUCCUGGUGCACUUUGUAUGAUGGUUCCAUCAUUCUUGGGUAUUGAUUAUGCCAUUUAAAAUUGAUGGCACUGUCAGUCCUAUAUAUCUGAGGGUUACCAGGUUAAAGAAGGCUAGGCUACUUUAUGAUUUUGUUACUUUUCUUGUAUUAAGAUAAAUAAAGGUAUGAGUGUUGUGGCCAGUUAAGUGAUUAAUGAUAGAACAAUUAGUUGGUUUCUAUUUGAUACGGAGGGCCUUUUGAACAAUGAUGACUACAAGGAAUAAAAGAAAGUUGUCAUCCAUUUUGAAUGCAUGUCUUGUUGGGAAUUUGUCAUGCAAGUGGGAGUAUAGCUAUCUUCUUUUCCAGGUUUUGGAUCCUCAGAUGUACAGAUGAACCAAAGUACAGAGAUUGGGAAUGGAUGCCAUUGUCAUUCAACUGUUAAUGGACUUGUAUUAUGUGUUAGUGAAGCUGAAAGAAGAAGGAUGGAGCCGUAGAGAAGAACAGAGCAUGGAAGCAAAAUGGGACAAUAGAUGUGGUUGUGGUACCAAAUAGGUCUAUGGAAAAUAGAACGGGUUCUGAAGCAAGAUGUAUAGUGCUGAAUGAUUGUACAUACAAUCAGGUCUGGUUGAAGACCUUUAGAAGACCUAAGAACUAUAAAAAAAAUGGGUGCCCUCAUAUAGAUCUAAUUCAAAAUAUCAACAAUAAACUGUAAAAUAAAAUAUAUAUUUUUCAAAAUGAA
rnacentral:lncRNA from 11 species